rnacentral:rRNA from 1 species
GACGAACGCUGGCGGCGGGCUUAACACAUGCAAGUCGAACGGAAAGGCCCUGCAUUUGUGGAGUGCUCGAGUGGCGAACGAGUGAGUCACACGUGUGUAACCUGCCCUUGACUAUCGGAGAACUACAGGGAACUGGGGCUAAUACCGGAUAGUAGCUCCUGCUGCAUGGUGUGGGUUUAAGAGUUGCGGCGGGUGGGGAUGGUCUCGCGGCAUGUCCGCUUUUUGGUGGGGUAGUGGCUUACCAAGGCUUUGCCCGGUAGCCGGCCUGAGCGGGUGACCGGACACAUUGGGACUGAGAUGCGGCCCAGACUCCUACGGGAGGCAGCAGUGGAGAAUAUUGCACAAUGGGAGGAAGCCUGAUGCAGCACCGCCGCGUGCGGGAUGACGGCAAUCGGGUUGUAAACCGAUUUCGCCUGUGCCGAAGCGUGAGUGACGGUACUGGGUAAAGAAGCACCGGCUAACUACGUG